GGGGACUUAGCUCAAUUGGUAGAGCGCUCGCUUUGCAUGCGAGAGGUCGGGGGUUCGAUUCCCUCAGUCUCCA
rnacentral:tRNA from 1 species